rnacentral:tRNA from 1 species
CGGGCCGUGGCUCAGCUUGGUAGAGCGCCUCGUUCGGGACGAGGAGGUCGCGAGUUCGAAUCUCGCCGGCCCGA